CCUACGGGAGGCAGCAGUAGGGAAUCUUCGGCAAUGGACGGAAGUCUGACCGAGCAACGCCGCGUGAGUGAAGAAGGUUUUCGGAUCGUAAAGCUCUGUUGUAAGAGAAGAACGAGUGUGAGAGUGGAAAGUUCACACUGUGACGGUAUCUUACCAGAAAGGGACGGCUAACUACGUGCCAGCAGCCGCGGUAAUACGUAGGUCCCGAGCGUUGUCCGGAUUUAUUGGGCGUAAAGCGAGCGCAGGCGGUUAGAUAAGUCUGAAGUUAAAGGCUGUGGCUUAACCAUAGUACGCUUUGGAAACUGUUUAACUUGAGUGCAAGAGGGGAGAGUGGAAUUCCAUGUGUAGCGGUGAAAUGCGUAGAUAUAUGGAGGAACACCGGUGGCGAAAGCGGCUCUCUGGUCUGUAACUGACGCUGAGGCUCGAAAGCGUGGGGAGCAAACAGGAUUAGAUACCCUGGUAGUC
rnacentral:rRNA from 1 species